AUCUACUGAAAAUAAGCAAAUUGAAGGGAUUCUUUAACACUUCAUUAUUUUCAUAAAGGAAUAUUUUCAAAUGCGGAGUGGAAAACCAGAAUUCCAGGUUGAAGAAGAGCAGGGUGAAGAUGGGGAUUGGGGAAGCACUUCUCCUGAAUCCAAAUAGCCGUUGAGAGAAUGUUCUAGUUAUCUGAAACUAAAAUGUAACAACGUUCGAAAGAAAAAUCGAAAGUUACGAAAAGCUGAAAAAAAGCCGGAAAAAAAGCAUAUCGAACGUUAUUAUGGAGAGCUGGAGAAAGCAUAAAUAGUUCCAUCUCUUUCAUUUAGAGAGAGUGUUCUUCCUCUUUGUUUUGUUCUGUUUCUUUGUUCUCUGGCUCUUUAUAUUUUCUUUCAAUGUCUUUUAAUGAAGUUUUUUUGUUUGUUUUGUUUUCGAUUUUUCAUUUUGUCUGGUAAGGGUUUUGUGCUGUGAUAUGUUUUCUUUUUUUCUUUGUGGUUUUCCUGUUUUACAUAGGAAGAUGUGGAACAGAGGAAGGGAAAAGCAAAAGGAAGAGGCAGAGCAAAAGGAAGGAAUACGUGGCUGGCAGGAAGCAUGAGAAAGCGAGGAAGGUUGGAGGAGUUGUGCUACUUUGUCCUUCCUCCCUCCUCCUCAGCAGUCAAGAGAGGAGGUACAGCGGUCAAGAGAGGAGGUACAGCAGAGGACCUGCCCAUUCUGGGUUGAAUGACAUGCUCUGUGCAACUACAUUAAGGGAUAGGAUGGAUCUAUAUGCCCUGGAGGCAAUGCCAAUUCGACUAGGAAAUUUGAGGUGAUACAUGAUAUUUAAACUGAAGAAGUCAUUGCAAUUGUUAAAAUUGAUGCAAAUGUAAUUUGUAAAUUGAGUGAGUUUACUGGAUAAUGCAUUAUUUUAUAUCUAAAAUUUGAAGAAAAUGUUGCAUUUUUGAACCAGUUGCUGAAAUCAAUAACAUUAAUAAAUGUAAUAUGUAAAUUAAGACAGUCUAUUCAUUAAAUUGAUAUGUAAACUGAUUUAUUAUUUAAUAUCAUUAUUUUUAUUUGGGAGGGGUUGAA